rnacentral:rRNA from 1 species
UACGGAGGGUGCGAGCGUUAUCCGGAUUCACUGGGUUUAAAGGGUGCGUAGGUGGGAAUGUAAGUCAGUGGUGAAAUCUCUGAGCUUAACUCAGAAACUGCCAUUGAUACUAUGUUUCUUGAAUUUUCUGGAGGUCAGCGGAAUAUGUCAUGUAGCGGUGAAAUGCUUAGAUAUGACAUAGAACACCAAUUGCGAAGGCAGCUGGCUACAGGGAUAUUGACACUGAGGCACGAAAAGCGUGGGGAGCAAACAGG